UGGUGACGAUAGCGAAGUGGUCACACCUGUUCCCAUGCCGAACACAGUAGUUAAGCACUUCAGCGCCGAAAAUAGU
rnacentral:rRNA from 1 species